AUGCCUUAGCAUAUCCAGCUGUGUGAUCUAAUAGAAAAGACCUGCUCUUUGUGUUAUUGCAGCGAAGCUGUAUGUGGCUAGGUUCUGACGAAAAAUGUGUCCAUGGGCAAGAGACGUGUAGAUCGAGAAUUUUCCUCCAUACGUGGGCUGAUCCCGAAGACAGUGCAACACCCGUGUGACCCACGACGGAGGACAGCCCGACGAAUUUCUGUGACUGUCCUGGUCCUGUCGGGAUAACACUUGAAACCACUGGCUAUGCAACGUCCGAUCUGCGGCACCUUCGUCAUGAAAGCUUCCCGAGGCUACAAUAUUGAGGUCACGCAACGCGCCCAAUCAAGAGCGAGCGCUUGUCUAGAGACACCCACAGUGGAAGACUGCAGUCUUAUCCGCCUGAAGUGGAGCUUCAACACUAAUUCAGGACGAUGUGAAAGAAACUACGUCUGUUCAAACCACACCAAUGCUUUCCUAGAUGAAGCAUCGUGUGUGGAAAUGUGUUCUUCAGUUCCAAGUCCCCAACCUCCAGAGACCUCCAAAGAUUGCUCCUAUUGGCUUCUUCGCUUAGAAGAGUGCAAACAAAAGUGGCUGACACCGUAUCGAGGCUUUCGGGGAAAACUGAUGUACGCCUUUAUAUACACUGAAUGCGGGUCUUCGCCCAAAAAAUACUACGCAUAUUUUCUAGAACACUACCGCUGUUCAGAAGUGGAUUUGCGUCGAGGGCCCACAAAUCAGUAGGCCAAGUCAACACAAUGUCAACAGCAAAUCAGAUGGCCUCGUCAUUGGUACACUCAGUGGUCGACACUGGGGAGCAAGAAUCCUGGACACCGUUCCAGUUAUUUGUUUUCAAGUCGGCAAGUUAUGAAACACAGUUUUGUUGUCGCAGUGAAGCGAAUAAAUUAGCACAGUGAAUCAAUAAAUCUUGAA